GGGAAAUCUCCAUGGUUCACAGGAGCACCUGAAGCAGACUCCAUCAGCUGCUGCGCGUUUGUUAAAUGUGCACCUUACAUUUCUGUCUCAUAAUAACUACUGAUGCAGCUAAGAUCAAGACUUCUACCCCAGCAGAAUAAAAUCUAUAGUGCUAAAAAUAUACUUUUUAUAACAAUGCAGUGCUUUAGAGAAAACAACAAAGAAGAAACACAAAGACUCAGAUAGUCAGAAAAACGAUCAUGCAAUUCCUCGAGGGAACAAAACCAAACACAAAUCAAAUAGAAGGCACAGGAAAACCUCCCCUGAGAAUGAAGAAGGUGGCAGAAAAAUAACAAAGAAAGCACAAGUUUGAUCUGUCAGGCCAGGUGGGGAAGAUGCCUGAAUCAUCCUUCCUACUCCAUCUGUGGACACAGCGCUGAUAACAUGAUGGGACAAAAAGAGAUAGUG